AUUUAAGCGUUUGCCGUGAACAUUGCCAGUCUCAAAAUUAAUCUGACAGAGAUGACAUUGGUAUUUGAAUAUAUGUCUCUUUUUGGUAGAAAUACCUCCCAAACGAUACGUAUUAUUGUUCUAAACACAAGAAGGGCCUGCAUUGAAAAUCCUGAUCUGAUUAAAAAAAAUAUCAGCUGAAUUUGUGAUUCCACGUCUAUAAUCUAUAUGUUAGUUACAAUUAUAAAACGAUUUGUGCUUAAUUAUUUGCAAAAUAUUAUGAAAUUUGGAUUUUUCAAUGUAAUUUUUAUUAAUAUUAAAACUGUUUUAAAAUUUUCUUAGAUAA